CCUGAGAUCAAUGCACUGAAAAUGACAUACUUAGCAAUUAUGUGUAAGUGUAUAUAAGAACAUGUAUUCAGUGAACAGACAGUUGUUUAUCGAUGCAUCUGUAAAUGUGUCACAUGGCAUUGCAUGUUUACAUCAAGUUUGUUUCUAAAUUUCAGGAGUUGAUUUCACAAAAAAACUUACGACUAAGAUUGAUCGUAAGUACACUGAAUUGUUCAUGGACAAAUCUUAGUCGUAAGUUUUUUCGUGAAAUUGACUCCUGAAGACUAAUUUGUAUUUCCUGAAAAG
rnacentral:lncRNA from 1 species